UUGGGGCCUUUGAGGCUUUAGUGGCGCAGCUAACGCGAUAAGUAGACCGCCUGGGGAGUACGGUCGCAAGACUAAAACUCAAAUGAAUUGACGGGGGCCCGCACAAGCGGUGGAGCAUGUGGUUUAAUUCGAUGCAACGCGAAGAACCUUACCUGGCCUUGACAUACUAGAAACUUUCCAGAGAUGGAUUGGUGCCUUCGGGAAUCUAGAUACAGGUGCUGCAUGGCUGUCGUCAGCUCGUGUCGUGAGAUGUUGGGUUAAGUCCCGCAACGAGCGCAACCCUUUUCCUUACUUGCCAGCAUUUCGGAUGGGAACUUUAAGGAUACUGCCAGUGACAAACUGGAGGAAGGCGGGGACGACGUCAAGUCAUCAUGGCCCUUACGGCCAGGGCUACACACGUGCUACAAUGGUCGGUACAAAGGGUUGCUACACAGCGAUGUGAUGCUAAUCUCAAAAAGCCGAUCGUAGUCCGGAUUGGAGUCUGCAACUCGACUCCAUGA
rnacentral:rRNA from 1 species